rnacentral:rRNA from 1 species
GACGAACGCUGGCGGCGUGCUUAACACAUGCAAGUCGAACGGAAAGGCCCUGCUUUUGUGGGGUGCUCGUUUGGCGAACGGGUGAGUAACACGUGUGUAACAUGCCCUUGUCUUUGUGAUAUCUUCAGGAAACUCCGGCUAUUACCGGAUAGGAUCUCCUGCUGCAUGGUGGUGGUUGGUAAGUUUCGGCGGUUGGGGAUUGUCUCGAGGCUUAUCCGCUUGUUUGUGGGGUAGUUGCUUACAAAGGCUUUGACGGGUAGCCGGCCUGGGAGGGUGACCGGCGACAAUGGGACUGAGAUACGGCCCAGAAUGGAACGGGAGGCAGCAGGGGGGAAUAUGGCAGAAUGGGGGGAAGCCAGAUGCAGCAACGCCGGGAGCGGGAUGACGGCCUACGGGUGGUAAACCGCUGUCGAAGGUGACGAAGCGGGAGUGACGGUAAUGGGUAAAGAAGCACCGGCUAACUACGUG